GAGCAACUGCUGGGAUGCUGUUAUAUCUGCUCCACAACCGGAGAGAAACAGCCGAUUGUAGGAGGAAUGGAGGCGGCGGAGCGGGUGGGGAAGAUUCACAAACACCCAGUGGAGGCCUCAAACCCCAAAGGGAACUCCCGGUCCCGCGGUCACACCGAGCGGGUCGGCGGCUGUUUAUCGGGUCUUAGAAAGGAAGGAUCUGGAGAUGUGCACUGAAACUAAGCAUCUUGGCUGAGUCAACUGGUUAUCCAGAACCUGAAUACCAUCGACCUUUGAAGGUGGAAGGGAAAAUGUUCGUCUGUUUUGUCUCCAAGAAAAUAAUUGAAAUAUAAAUGUGACUGGACAAGCAUCAAGACACAUAUACCCGAGUGAGAAUGUUUCAGCACACUGACUGUGGAAGGAGCUUUAACCAGUUACACAGCCUGGACAAACAUCACACCAUUCACAGCAGAGAGAAACUGUCACCUGUUCUGUGUGUGGACAAGGUUCCAAUUGAUCGGCUCAACUGUAGAAACACAAAGACAUUGGCACCAUGGAAAAACCUUGGAAAUGUGAGGACUGUGGUAAAGGAUUCAUUUAUCCAUCCCGGCUGGAAUACCAUCGACGCAGUCACACUGGGGAGAGGCCGUUCACCUGCUCCAAGUGUGGGAUGGGAUUCACUCAGAAAACCUCCCUGAUGUUACACCAGAGAAUUCACACUGAGGAGAGGCCCUUCAGCUGCACUUACUGUGGGAAGAGGUUCAGGUAUUCAUCCACCCUCACUACACACCAGCGAGUUCACACCGGGGAGAGACCGUUCACCUGCUCUGUGUGUGGGAAGGGAUUCACUCAGUCAGCCAGCCUGCUGAAUCACCAGCGCAUUCACACUGGGGAAAAGCCGUUCACCUGCUCUGUGUGUGGGGAAGGUUUCACAUCAGCAAAUUCAUACUGAGGAGAAGCCUUUCAGCUGCACCUGUUGUGGAAAGAGUUUCGGGCAUUCAUCCACACUCGCUGUACACCAACGUACUCACACUGGGGAGAGACCGUUCAUCUGUUCUGUGUGUGGGAAGGGAUUCACUCAGUCAUUUGACCUGGUUAGACACCAGCGGCUUCACACUGGGGAGAGACCAUUCACCUGCUCCGUUUGUGGGAAGGGAUUUGCUCGAUUAUUCAGCCUCCAGUUACACCAACGAAUUCAUACUGAGGAGAGUCCAUUCAGGUGCAGUACCUGUGGAAAGAGUUUCAGACAGUCAUCUGUCCUCAUUGAACACCAGCGAAUCCACACUGAGGAGAAGCCAUUCAGCUGCACUUCCUGUGGAAAGAGGUUCAAGCAUUCUUCUGCCCUCACUGUACACCAGCGCACUCACACUGGGGAAAGGCCAUUCACCUGUUCUGUGUGUGGGAAAAAAUUUGCUCAGUCAUUUGAUCUGGUGAGACACCAGCGAAUUCACACUGGGGAGAGACCGUUCACCUGCUCCGAGUGUGGGAAGGGAUUUGCUCGGUUAUCUGGCCUUCAGUCACACCAGCGAAUUCACACUGAGAAGAGCCCAUUCAGCUGAAAUAUCUGUGGAAAGAGUUUCAGACAGUCAUCUAAGCUGACUGUACUCCAGCGAAUUCACAUUGAGGAGAGACCAUUCACCUGCUCCGUGUGUGGAAAGGGAUUCACAAGGUCCUCCAAACUGCGGACUCACCAGUGAAUUCAUAAAUAACUGUGGGGUUGGAUUCUGCUACUGUUAAUUACGUCCAGGAUUGAUAGACAAUAAUUAGGUUUGUUCCUGCUGAUGUUAACAGCCGUAUAACUGGCUGGAGUUUAAUAUUCUGAAUCAGUCACUGAUUUUCUGGACUGCAGUGCCCCUUUUUAAAAGCACCAUCUGUGAUAUUACCCCUUAAUUCAAGAACUCAUGACAGGAAUGCAUUUAUAAUAAAACUAUUAACUUUUACUUCAAUCCUAAAUUGAUCUUUGGUACGAACUCUACAAUUCAGUGUCUGAGAUUUUCCACUGAUUAACAUCUCCAAUUAGAAAGUACUGAUUAAUCCUUGCUGACAAUUCUUACUGAUUUGCAUAUUCUUUACAGUGACACCUCCGUGUGUAAUUAAACUAUCAAGGAAGAUGAACAAAAUAGUGAAAUAUUUUACAGGCUCAUCAAUAAAAGCUUCAUCAGUCAACAUUGAUAUUGCUGAAUCUUGGAAGUGGCUGAGUUCAAUCAUUUCUGACACAGCAGCAGCAACAUUUGGGAAAGGUGGAACCCACAACAAAGUCUGGUUUGAGACCUACUCAGCAGAGAUGAAUCUGUCAUUGAAGCAAAAAGCAAAGCCUGCCUGAUUACAACAUAAACCCAACAGCUAGAACACUGUGUAACUUGAAAGUAGCUGAGACAGUUGUGUAAAAGACAGGGAGAUACUGUGUAAAUAAACACUGGAUCAGACCAGAUCAUGAAAUCCAAACUGCCUGUGACAAUGGAAAUCUACGUGCUGUGUAUGAUGGGAUCAGGAGGGCGCUUGGUCCGACCAUCACCAAAGUUACCCCCUGAAAUCAGCAGAUGGUGAUGUACUCACCCACAGAAGUAAACAGAUGUCCCACUGGGUUGAACUUUACUGUGAGUGUACUCCUGUGAGAAGGACAUCUCCCAAUCUCAGUUGACUCUCUCCUGCAGCUUCCUGUCAUGGUUGAGUUGGAUGAGGAUCCUCAUCAUUUGAGCUCAAAAAGGCCAUUAAUUGCUUAGCAAGCAGAAAGACACCCAGCAAGGAUGGAAUUCCAGCUGAACUGCUCAAGCCCAGAAAGUCCCAUCUACUGUCACAGCUUCAUGAGUUCCUCCUUCUCUGUUGGGAUGUAGGAUCCUUUCCACACGACACGUGUGAUUGAAGAAUGAUCACAAUAUACUAAAAGAAAGGUGACAGAGGAGAUUGCAGCAACUACAGGGACAUCUCACUCCUCAGCAUCACAGGGACGACCUUCACUAGGGUCAGGCUUAAAAGACUCCAUCUACUUGCAGACCGAGUGUAUCCAGAAGCACAGUGCGGUUUCUGUGCUGGCAGAUCUACAGUGGACAUGAUCUUCUCCAUACGACAGCUACAAGAGAAGUUUACAAUUGGGAUUGAAUCUAAAAUGCUGCCAGCUUCUGUGCUGAGAAAAGUGAAAGGUUAUAAUGACUGAGUGAAAGUAAACCUUUAAUUAUGAAUCACAAUGAACUUGUACAAUUGUAAAAGGCAUCGAAAAGUUGGAUUCCCUAAAGAUAAGCUUCAGCCUUGAGGUUCUGUUCUGGAGCUCACAAGCUGUGGGAAGCUCCACCCUCUUUAACUCUUUUCAGUCUCAGAAGGUUGACGCUCCUUUUGCCUGUGAAAGUGAACUUUUUCAGUUUUAUUUUUCUUCAGUUUUAUUACCGUCAUUUGGAAAGGUGCCUGAAGGAAGAAGAAAAAAAUAAUAUUUGGGCAAAGCUGAUUAAAACACCAAGAGAAUUGGAAAAACAAAGAUUGAAAUGGGGUUUGGUGAUCCUUGAUCUGAAAAUGAAGUUACAUAAAGUUGUCACAAGUGUGCACAUUUGAGAAUGUUUCUUCAGCCCCUUUGCUAACAAGCUGAGAAGUUAACCCUUUCCACUGAUAGCAUGGUGACAAUUUAAACAAAAGGCUUUUCUUUAUAAACAUUUGGCUUCAUCCCAUUUGCUAUCAUUCAGGACAAAGUGCCUGAAAAUGGGAGAUAUGGGAGUGAUCUACAAUCUGAUUGCAAGUACCUGUACCUCUGUCUCUGAUCUACAAACACCAUAUUAUAAUCUGUAACUGGCCUGGAGUUUAUUAACAUCAGCAGAAACACUCUCCAAUGAAUAUGCUUCGGACCAGGAUGUCAUUGGGAACUAUAACCAACUGGAGCAGUUACUUGUGAACUCGCUGGUGUCUCAGCAUGUUGGAUAACAGUGAAUCUCUUCCCACACUUGGAGCAGGUGAACGGACUCUCCCCAGUGUGAACUCUCUGGUGUGUAAGCAGGUUGGAUAACUGAGUGAAUCCCUUCCCACACUCAGAGCAAGUAAACGGCCUCUUCCCAGUGUGAACUGUCUGCUGUCUCAGUAGAUGGAAUUGACGAGUGAAUCCCUUCCCACACAUGAAGCAGAUAAACGGCCUCUCCCCAAUGUGAACUCUCUGGUGUCUCUGUAGAUUGAAUUGACGUGUGAAUCCCUUCCCACAAUCGGAGCAGGUGAAGUAACUAUCCGCCGUGUGAACUCGCUUAUGUUUGAGUCGGGUGGAUGAAUGAACAAAUCCCUUUUUACACGCAUUGCAGGUAAAUGGUCUCGCCCCAGUGUGAAUUCACUUGUGUUUCAGUCGGGUGGGUGAAUCAGCCAAUCCCAUUUUACACGCAGAGCAGGUAAACGGCCUCUCCUGAGUUUGAACUUGCUCGUAUGUCCACAGGCUGGACAACUGAGUGAAUCCCUUCCCACACAUUGAACAUGUAAAUGCUCUCUCACCAGUGUGAGUGCGCUGGUGAAUUUCCAGCUGGGAUGGAUAAUUGAAACCCUUCCCACAGUCCCCACAUUUCCAUGGAUUCUCUCCAGUGUGACUGUACUUGUGUUCCGACAGGUCAGAUAUUCGGCUGAAGCCUCGUCCACACACGGAGCAUGUGUACGGUUUCUCCACAAUGUCAACGAGGCUUUUAACUUCCAUAUUCAAAAUCUGAUGAUAUUUUAGUUACAAUAAAUUGGGCAACAUCGUCAGACUCUGAUAUAAUGUUGGGUUUGAGAUUUGGGACUUCAAAUCCUGUGAAAAUAAUUCAAAACAGAAAAAAGGGAGUGAGAGUAAACCUACAAAAACACAAAGAUAGGUUGUGAAAUUGAGCUGAAUUAAUCUGGGAAUAUGUGGGGCCGGCACUGGGAAAAAAUGACCAUGAAAACUGCUGGAUUAUUGUAAAAACCCAGCUGGUUCACUCAUGACCUUCAGGGAAGGGAACUUGCCAAGUGGCCAGGGCCUACAGAAAACUCCAGCAUCUAUGGGAGAAAGAUAGAGGGAGAUGGGAGCAUCAGGGGGUGAAGGAGAUGGAUUUUAUGUAUGUAAAACUCUGUCAGCGCGUUGACAGAAUCUCCAAAACCCUCAUCCUCCACCACAUAGAAGGACCAGGGUAGAAGGUGUUUGUGAACACCAUCACCUCCAAGUUCCCCUCCAAGUCACACAUUGUCCUGACUUGUCUGACAUCCAGUAUUGGAUGAGCAGAAAUUUCCUCCAUUUAACAUUGGGAAGAUUAAAAUCAUUGUUUUCAGUCCCCACUACAAUUUUCACUCCCUAAAUAUCAAUGUCAUCCAUCUCCCUUGCAACUUAGAGUCCGAACCAGGCUGUUCACAAUCUUGGUACCAUAUUUGUAGGGGCCCCCCUUUUCCCUCAGAGACCCUCCCCACGCUAAAGCUCGGGACACCAGAUUCACAAAUAUAUGGCUUGAACAGGGUGACCAGCCAGACAGGUUUCUUCUAAUAAUUCACAAUUGCGUUAUUUAAUUGCCCACAACCCUGCAGUACAAACCCAAAAUUUAAAACAACCUAUUACCAGUACCCGACACAAAGUCACCACGACUCAGUUAAAACAUACAAAGCACAGGCAAAACACUAUGUCCUAUCCUGAAACCUUAAGAAGAAACCCUCAGACCAAUAUCACCAAGAUAGGGCUGAAGUUACAAGGUUCUGGCAAAAAGCACUAAGUUUUUUCCCCAAGCCUUCACAAAACCCUCAGACCAAUAUCACUACCAUUUGUCUGUAAAUUACAAUCCCCAACACAGCUGGUCUGUCUGAUGUUGACUGUAGGCCUGAGUCAAGGUAACCAAACUCGACCCUUUUUGCAGCUGCAGCCUAGGUACUCAAAUCUGCUCUGCUUUUAUAAUAAUUUAACUCAAAUGUAAAAAUAUAUUUACUGUUGUUCCAAUGUCCAUUUAGUUGAUUCCAUGCAAAGUCCAGACAAAUGUUCAUUAGCUCCUGCUGGUUGAAACAAUACAGGGUUUUCCGUGGAUGAUGUAUAUAGACGAAUAUUAUCAGUUUUCAUUGUAUGAGCAAUUCUCCUGCUCUUUGAGGUGGCACAGUAACAGCAACUGGCUCCAAAGCUAAUGAGGGAUUGAAUGACCCUAUUCCAAUGCUAUUUUCUGUGGUAGUUGAAUAAUUCCUUAUGUGAAUUGUAUUGAUGAUAUAUCCUUUAUUCCAUUGUAUUGGGUAAUCAGGUUUCUUGAUGGUGUUAGUCAAAGUCAGUACCCUUUUGAUAAGUCACUGUGUUUUCAUUAAAUGUCCAAAUUAACCCCUUGCUGCCCUGCCCUGUACUGCUGACUGCAGCUUACCUUUUUGAAAUUUAUAGUUUAAAUAAAGAGGCCAAAACAUGUCUGUGGGUUUGAAAUUAUCAUCCUUAA